UACGUAGGGUGCAAGCGUUGUCCGGAAUUAUUGGGCGUAAAGAGCUCGUAGGCGGUUUGUCGCGUCUGCCGUGAAAAGUCCGGGGGCUCAACUCCGGAUCUGCGGUGGGGUACGGGCAGACUAGAGUGAUGUAGGGGAGACUGGAAUUCCUGGUGUAGCGGUGAAAUGCGUAGAGAUCCGGAAGAACACCGGUGGCGAAGGCGGCAUCCUGGACCACGACUGACGCUGAGUGAGCGAAAGCCAGGGGAGCAAAGCGGG
rnacentral:rRNA from 1 species